CCUACGGGAGGCAGCAGUGGGGAAUAUUGGGCAAUGGGCGCAAGCCUGACCCAGCAACGCCGCGUGAAGGAAGAAGGCUUUCGGGUUGUAAACUUCUUUUCUCAGGGACGAAGCAAGUGACGGUACCUGAGGAAUAAGCCACGCCUAACUACGUGCCAGCAGCCGCGGUAAUCCGUAGGUGGCAAGCGUUAUCCGGAUGUACUGGGUGUAAAGGGCGUGUAGGCGGGACUGCAAAUCAGAUGUGAAAACCACGGGCUCAACCUGUGGCCUGCAGUUGAAACUGUAGUUCUUGAGUACUGGAGAGGCAGACGGAAUUCCUGGUGUAGCGGUGAAAUGCGUAGAUAUUAGGCGGAACACCAGUGGCGAAGGCGGUCUGCUGGCCCGCAACUGACGCUGAGGCGCGAAAGCGUGGGGAGCAAACAGGAUUAGAUACCCCUGUAGUC
rnacentral:rRNA from 1 species